CUUAGGCUUUUAAGAUUCGGUUGCGGUUCUAGUUCUUAUACUCAAUCAUACACAUGAUAUC
rnacentral:sRNA from 1 species